rnacentral:tRNA from 2 species
GGCUUCAUAGUACAAUGGAUAGUACGUGGGUCUCCGGAACCCAAGAUUCCAGUUCGAUUCUGGAUGAAGCCA